AGGCCCCAGGGUCGCCCUGCCUGUCCCAAGGUUGUCGCAAAGGCACAACAAAGGGGAGCCGUGGGUUGCCCGGAGGGGCCUUCAUGGGCAUUCUUGUGGGAAGCGGAUAGACGCUCUGGGAACCAGAAGAGAGUUCCGAUCCCGGCUCAGCCGUUUCCGGGCUGGGCGGAUUUGGGAGGACUGCGUCUCCUCAUGUAGCAGGGUGACAACACUGCCGACCCCACCGCAGGGUGCGCUGGCUGAUACAGGAUUAAGACCAAACUCUGUGAAUCGAGACUCCAACCUCCCCUCUCAUUCUUCCCUCCCAAACACCACAUGCUGGCCUUGGUUCAGACCCAUCUCCUGCCCCAGGGCCUUUGCUCAAGAUAUCCUCUCUGCCUGGAAUCUCUUUUUGCCACCGCAAUUGGAUCCUUCUGCUCUUUCAGGAUCAGCUUCAAUGUCACCACCUCCUGGACCUCUUCGUAGAUUUCCACCAAAUUUUUGUGCUUCAUAGCCUCCUCACGAUUUCUGAUUAUAUAUUUGCUUCCUUGUCUGUUUUCCAUCUCCUCAUAGUGGAAUGAAAGCUCUGUGAGAGCAGAGACAGCACCUCGUCUGCCCUGUUAGAUCUGGCAGCCCAGUGACCAGUAUGCAGUAGGUGCUCCAUAAAUGUAACCGGACAGAUAGAGGGCUGGACAAAUGAACAACAAGCCCUUUCUGUACGGGGAGUAGUCACACCAGGGAAAGAAUGAGAUCCAGGGAGAAUGAUGGGGAAAAACAUCCCAGUAACUACUUUGGUUUGAGGUGACGUCAAUUAUCAGGAACAUGGGGGAAAGCAUAAAGGAGAUACGUGGAAAAUAUAAAAAAGAAUCCAAACUUCUAGAGAUGAAACUAAUAAUGUCUGACAAGAGAAACACACUGGAUGAGAUUCCCAGCAGAUCAGACACCACAGAAGAAAAGAGGCGUGAACGUAAAUACUUAACAAUUGAAAAUAUCCAAAAAUGCAGAGAGAACUAAAAACAAUAAUAAAAAGAAGAGAUUUCUGGAAAAGAUUUGAAGA
rnacentral:lncRNA from 1 species